UACGUAGGGUGCAAGCGUUAAUCGGAAUUACUGGGCGUAAAGCGUGCGCAGGCGGUUGUGCAAGACAGAUGUGAAAUCCCCGGGCUCAACCUGGGAACUGCAUUUGUGACUGCACGGCUAGAGUGUGUCAGAGGGGGGUAGAAUUCCACGUGUAGCAGUGAAAUGCGUAGAUAUGUGGAGGAAUACCGAUGGCGAAGGCAGCCCCCUGGGAUGACACUGACGCUCAUGCGCGAAAGCGUGGGGAGCAAACAGG
rnacentral:rRNA from 1 species